rnacentral:rRNA from 1 species
UACGAAGGGGGCGAGCGUUGUUCGGAUUUACUGGGCGUAAAGGGCGCGUAGGCGGCCUUGUCAGUCAGGCGUGAAAGCCCCGGGCUCAACCUGGGAACGGCGCUUGGGACGGCGAGGCUGGGGUUCGGGAGAGGAGAGUGGAAUUCCCAGUGUAGAGGUGAAAUUCGUAGAUAUUGGGAGGAACACCAAUGGCGAAGGCAGCUCGCUGGGACGUUACUGACGCUGAGACGCGAAAGCGUGGGGAGCAAACAGG